rnacentral:rRNA from 1 species
CUGGGGUACUCGAGUGGCGAACGGGUGAGUAACACGUGGGUGAUCUGCCCUGCACUUCGGGAUAAGCCUGGGAAACUGGGUCUAAUACCGGAUAGGACCAUCGUUUAGUGUCGGUGGUGGAAAGUUUUUCGGUGUGGGAUGAGCUCGCGGCCUAUCGGCUUGUUGGUGGGGUAAUGGCCUACCAAGGCGUCGACGGGUAGCCGGCCUGAGAGGGUGUACGGCCACAUUGGGACUGAGAUACGGCCCAG